UAAAGAGCAAUGACGGAACUUAGUAGGAUUAUUAGGUGUAAGCAGAGAGUGGAUAGUUGGUGAGAAUCCACUGCACUAUAGUCUGAAUCUACUCCCGAGCUUCUAGUUUGAAAUAGUACUAGACGUAGGACCUGCGAUAAGGGUUUGAGAGUCCGGAUUUAUCCGGGAACUUGGGUGGUAACGCGGAAUUUUGACUUUCGUCCCUAUU
rnacentral:ncRNA from 1 species